CCUUCGGGGAACGWUAACGGCGUCGAGCGGCGGACGGGUGAGUAAUGCCUGGGAAUAUGCCUUGAUGUGGGGGAUAACCAUUGGAAACGAUGGCUAAUACCGCAUAAUCUCUUCGGAGCAAAGAGGGGGACCUUCGGGCCUCUCGCGUCAAGAUUAGCCCAGGUGGGAUUAGCUAGUUGGUGAGGUAAUGGCUCACCAAGGCGACGAUCCCUAGCUGGUCUGAGAGGAUGAUCAGCCACACUGGAACUGAGACACGGUCCAGACUCCUACGGGAGGCAGCAGUGGGGAAUAUUGCACAAUGGGCGCAAGCCUGAUGCAGCCAUGCCGCGUGUGUGAAGAAGGCCUUCGGGUUGUAAAGCACUUUCAGYMGUGAGGAAGGURGUGUMGUUAAUAGCKGCAUYAUUUGACGUUAGCKRCAGAAGAAGCACCGGCUAACUCCGUGCCAGCAGCCGCGGUAAUACGGAGGGUGCGAGCGUUAAUCGGAAUUACUGGGCGUAAAGCGCAUGCAGGUGGUUUGUUAAGUCAGAUGUGAAAGCCCGGGGCUCAACCUCGGAACCGCAUUUGAAACUGGCAGGCUAGAGUACUG
rnacentral:rRNA from 1 species